UUGCUGCAGCAGCACAUACACUAAAAUUGGAACUAUGCAGAGAUUUGUAAGGACCCUGGACAAGGAUGACAACGUCCUUCAUAUUAAAAAAAAAUAACUUAU